ACUCCUACGGGAGGCAGCUCUGGGGAAUCUUGGACAAUGGGGGCAACCCUGAUCCAGCCAUGCCGCGUGAGUGAUGAAGGCCUUAGGGUCGUAAAGCUCUUUCGCCUGUGAAGAUAAUGACGGUAGCAGGUAAAGAAACCCCGGCUAACUCCGUGCCAGCAGCCGCGGUAAUACGGAGGGGGUUAGCGUUGUUCGGAAUUACUGGGCGUAAAGCGCACGUAGGCGGACUGGAAAGUUGGGGGUGAAAUCCCAGGGCUCAACCCUGGAACUGCCUCCAAAACUAUCAGUCUAGAGUUCGAGAGAGGUGAGUGGAAUUCCGAGUGUAGAGGUGAAAUUCGUAGAUAUUCGGAGGAACACCAGUGGCGAAGGCGGCUCACUGGCUCGAUACUGACGCUGAGGUGCGAAAGUGUGGGGAGCAAACAGGAUUAGAUACCCUGGUAGUCCACACCGUAAACGAUGAAUGCCAGUCGUCGGGUAGCAUGCUAUUCGGUGACACACCUAACGGAUUAAGCAUUCCGCCUGGGGAGUACGGUCGCAAGAUUAAAACUCAAAGGAAUUGACGGGGGCCCGCACAAGCGGUGGAGCAUGUGGUUUAAUUUCUAAGCAACGCGCAGAACCUUACCAACCCUUGACAUCCUAGGACCGGCCCAGAGAUGGGUCUUUCACUUCGGUGACCUAGUGACAGGUGCUGCAUGGCUGUCGUCAGCUCGUGUC
rnacentral:rRNA from 1 species